rnacentral:lncRNA from 1 species
CCGCCACCACCGGGUACCACCAUUGCGGCUUGUUGCGGGCGGCUGACUUGUGUGUGCUGGGCCGGUGGCCCCUCAUCCGAUCUCCGUCAGUAGGGAGGGUCGUAAACUCCAACUUGUCUUCCUGCUUCACGCUGGUUGUUUUGCCCGUGUGGUAUCCUGGGUUGCAACGUAGUGCCGCGUCCAAGACGUCUUCCUGAGUUAUCUCCCCGCGGUGCUGACCUUUCCUGGGAAGUCGAUUCAACACCACUGAUUUACUCAAGGUAGAGUUCCAGCUGCGCGCUGCAUGCGUGCCCUGCAGCUGUGUCAGGUUCAAGGGCUAGCACCGCAAGGUGAGGGCUGGUGGUGGGUAGCUAAUAG